AGGUGUAGUGGUUUAUCACAUCUCCUUUACACGGAGAAGGCCAUGGGUUCGAUCCCCAUAGGAACUA
rnacentral:tRNA from 1 species